GUCGGUUGAAGUGUGCCGCAACCGACGUAUGCGGUAGGCCUGUAAUAAAGAGGGCAAAAAUAAGCAGUGUCUUUGCCAAAGAAAAUAUUACAUAGAUAAACAUAGUGCAAAGAAAAUACCUCAAGAUGACAGUUUAACAAAAGCCGCCCUAAUUUCUAACACAGGUUGAGGUAUAUACAAAGCAAAUACUGAGGACUUCCAGCGGCCCAAAGACUUGAU